UACGGAGGGUGCGAGCGUUGUCCGGAAUCACUGGGCGUAAAGCGCACGUAGGCGGCUUUGUAAGUUAGAGGUGAAAGCCCAGGGCUUAACCCUGGAAUUGCCUUUAAGACUGCAUCGCUAGAAUCGUGGAGAGGUGAGUGGAAUUCCGAGUGUAGAGGUGAAAUUCGUAGAUAUUCGGAAGAACACCAGUGGCGAAGGCGACUCACUGGACACGUAUUGACGCUGAGGUGCGAAAGCGUGGGGAGCAAACAGG
rnacentral:rRNA from 1 species